GAUGAACGCUGGCGGCGUGCCUAACACAUGCAAGUCGAGCGAUUCUCUUCGGCGAAGAGCGGCGGACGGGUGAGUAACGCGGGGGUAACCUGCCCUGUACACACGGAUAACAUACCGAACGGGAUGCUAAUAUGGGAUAACAUAAGAAAUGCGCAUGUUUUUCUUAUCAAAGCUCCGGCGGUACAGGAGGGACCCGCGUCUGAUUAGCUAGUUGGUGAGGUAACGGCUCACCAAGGCGACGAUCAGUAGCCGACCUGAGAGGGUGAUCGGCCACAUUGGAACUGAGACACGGUCCAAACUCCUACGGGAGGCAGCAGUGGGGAAUAUUGCACAAUGGGCGAAAGCCUGAUGCAGCAACGCCGCGUGAGCGAUGAAGGCCUUCGGGUCGUAAAGCUCUGUCCUCAAGGAAGAUAAUGACGGUACUUGAGGGGGAAGCCCCGGCUAACUACGUGCCAGCAGCCGCCGUAA
rnacentral:rRNA from 1 species